ACGGGACGGGGCGAAGCCUGAUCAGCCAUGCCGCGUGUGUGAAGAAGGUCUUCGGAUUGUAAAGCACUUUAAGUUGGGAGGAAGGGUUGUAGAUUAAUACUCUGCAAUUUUGACGUUACCGACAGAAUAAGCACCGGCUAACUCUGUGCCAGCAGCCGCGGUAAUACAGAGGGUGCAAGCGUUAAUCGGAAUUACUGGGCGUAAAGCGCGCGUAGGUGGUUCGUUAAGUUGGAUGUGAAAUCCCCGGGCUCAACCUGGGAACUGCAUCCAAUACUGGCGAGUUAGAGUAUGGUAGAGGGUGGUGAAAUUUCCUGUG
rnacentral:rRNA from 1 species